GGCCUCGCUGUAACGUUGUAUUGAUCAGUCUUCAAAACAGUGUUCGACAGCGUCAUGAGUGCAAAGGCUAAGCUAAGACUUUAAAUGGCCUUUUUUCCCCCAACGGGCCAUUUACCUUCACAGCUUUGAGUGAAUCCGGCUGAUGGAAUGUAGUUGUUUUACAGGAACAAACUUCGUAAGGAAAAUUCAACUAAUUUGUUUGCAGCUAACAGAAAUCAGUUUGGUUUCAUUUUGACAAGACAAAUAGACGAAAUAGCCCUGGAAAGUCCCGUCAGAGACUAUUAAACAGUCGCCGGAGAAACGGAGAAACAGUCGCCGGUAGCCUUCGUGUGGUGGAGAAGCAUGUCCUGAUGGCUCUACUCUCAAAUAACACACAGUACUUAGAGAUGACAUCAACCAAGGUCCAAGAUGUGACUUCAGGCUCACUUCCCCAACACCUACAGUAUGCUGUCAGCCUUCACCAUUGAGAGCCCCUUGACCACAAGCUGACUGUGGAGAGGGAAGUGUCACCAGAGAGUAUAAGUGCUGCUUGCAUCACUGCUCAUGGCUUCUUCACCCCCCCACCCCAGCUUCACAGCAUUACUUCCAGACUGAAUGACCGGUCCCUCCCCAAAUCUUCCUGCCUCAUGAACACUUUUUCUCAUACUCUCCCUGAACUCCAUUGUACGUCUCCUUCUGGACCCACCUGCAAACUAAUCCUACCAAUCCUGCUUUUUGUAUGCAGGGCUGCCAAGUUUCAGAAAAUGGUAUGAGACACUUGGCAGCUCCGAUUAGAGUCGCUUUUUCAAGUGUUAACUGACCAAGAGAAGAGGCAAAUAAAUGUUACACAGCUCUGCAACAAAUAUAGGACAAUGAUAGACUUGUAGCAGCCUUACAACAGUAGGCUACAUGUUAACUUGGAAACUCAAGGAGAAACAGCAAAUCAACAGUGAACAAAAUCUAGCAAGUAGGAGAACAUUUUAAAUGUGGGACUUGGUGCUCAACGCCAAGACCCGCCUUACGUUGCUUCUGAUUGGUUUAUAUUGCGUUUUGCCUUCUGUGGUUGGUUAGAUUUAGGCACAAUGGACUGAUGGAUUGGUUAUUGCGGUCAGUCAAUCAGAGUUGCUCGAACUAUGGCAAGGCAAGACAAGGACCACAGUUUAUUAUUCUGAAAAUAAUAAUACAUACUGAAAGGGGAAAAAUAAGCGUGAGAAAUGUCAAGUAUGGCAUGUUGUGUGAGAAUGGGUCAAAUUGCGUGACUCUCACGCUCAAAGCGCGAGACUUGGCAGCCCUGUGUAUGUCUUCCCUGUAAUGUCAAUUGCAUGUUCAUAUUAUGACUUAACAUUGCACCCUUGUGUCAGUUGCCAGUGCAUGCUGUAUGCAAUGUGAAUGUGCAGUCUCCACUUGUUACACAAUGUGUGUUCUUGUGGUAAAAAUCCUUUUCAGCAACGGUAUGUGUUGCUGAUGUGACGGGGACGGGCUACUGUUACCAGAGGCACUUUGUAAAGUGGGAAAUUAUACUAUAAAUGCAAUUUAUGCCACUUACCCUACCCUUAUGGGCAGAAACUAAUUUGUACUUUCUCUGAAUAAAGUUUAAACCGAUGAAAAUGAUGAUUAUCUUCCUUUAUUCCAG